AACGAACGCUGGCAGCGCGCCUAAUACAUGCAAGUCGAGCGAGAAGGUGUAGCAAUACACUUGUAAAGCGGCGAACGGGUGAGGAAUGCAUGGGUAACCUACCCUCGAGUGGGGAAUAACUAGCCGAAAGGUUAGCUAAUACCGCAUACGUUUCCGGAACUUCGGUUUCGAAAGGAAAGCAAUACCGUGGGUAUUGCGCUCCUGGAUGGGCUCAUGUCCUAUCAGCUUGUUGGUGAGGUAACGGCUCACCAAGGCUUCGACGGGUAGCUGGUCUGAGAGGACGAUCAGCCACACUGGCACUGCGACACGGGCCA
rnacentral:rRNA from 1 species